rnacentral:rRNA from 1 species
CUCAGAGUGAACGCUGGCGACAGGCCUAAUACAUGCGAGUCGAACGGCAGCACAGCAGAGCUUGCUCUGUGGGUGGCGAGUGGCGGACGGGUGAGGAAUACGUGGGAAUCUGCCCAGUCGUGGGGGAUAACGUAGGGAAACUUACGCUAAUACCGCAUGCGCCCUUCGGGGGAAAGCCGGGGACCUUCGGGCCUGGCGCGAUUGGAUGAGCCCACGUCGGAUUAGCUAGUUGGCGGGGUAAAGGCCCACCAAGGCGACGAUCCGUAGCUGGUCUGAGAGGAUGAUCAGCCACACUGGAACUGAGACACGGUCCAGACUCCUACGGGAGGCAGCAGUAGGGAAUAUUGGACAAUGGGCGCAAGCCUGAUCCAGCCAUGCCGCGUGAGUGAAGAAGGCCCUCGGGUUGUAAAGCUCUUUUGUCCGGAAAGAAAAGCGCCGGGUUAAUACCCUGGUGUCCUGACGGUACCGGAAGAAUAAGCACCGGCUAACUUCGUG